rnacentral:rRNA from 1 species
AAAGGAAUAGACGGGGACCCGCACAAGCAGCGGAGCAUGUGGUUUAAUUCGAAGCAACGCGAAGAACCUUACCUGGAUUUGACAUCCCACUGACCAUCCUGUAACAAGGGUUUUCCCUUCGGGGACAGAGGAGACAGGUGGUGCAUGGUUGUCGUCAGCUCGUGUCGUGAGAUGUUGGGUUAAGUCCCGCAACGAGCGCAACCCUUGUCUUUAGUUGCCAUCAGGUAAAGCUGGGCACUCUAGAGAGACUGCCAAGGUAAACUUGGAGGAAGGUGGGGAUGACGUCAAAUCAUCAUGCCCCUUAUGUCCAGGGCUACACACGUGCUACAAUGGCCGAUACAACGGGUAGCUAAGGAGUAAUCCGGAGCAAAUCCUACAAAAUCGGUCCCAGUUCGGAUUGUGGGCUGCAAUUCGCCCACAUGAAGUCGGAGUUGCUAGUAAUCGCGAAUCAGAAUGUCGCGGUGAAUGCGUUCCCGGGUCUUGUACACACCGCCCGU